rnacentral:piRNA from 1 species
UAGAAGAUUAUCUUCAGUGGUGGGAUCUUA